rnacentral:rRNA from 1 species
CCUACGGGUGGCUGCAGUGAGGAAUAUUGGUCAAUGGACGAGAGUCUGAACCAGCCAAGUAGCGUGAAGGAUGACUGCCCUAUGGGUUGUAAACUUCUUUUAUAUGGGAAUAAAAUGUUCCACGUGUGGGAUUUUGUAUGUACCAUAUGAAUAAGGAUCGGCUAACUCCGUGCCAGGAGCCGCGGUAAUACGGAGGAUCCGAGCGUUAUCCGGAUUUAUUGGGUUUAAAGGGAGCGUAGGUGGGUUGUUAAGUCAGUUGUGAAAGUUUGCGGCUCAACCGUAAAAUUGUAAUUGAAACUGGCAGUCUUGAGUACAGUAGAGGUGGGCGGAAUUCGUGGUGUAGCGGUGAAAUGCUUAGAUAUCACGAAGAACUCCGAUUGCGAAGGCAGUUCACUGGACUGCAACUGACACUGAGGCUCGAAAGUGUGGGUAUCAAACAGGAUUAGAUACCCUUGUAGUC